rfam:Actinotignum schaalii strain CCTG 27420 chromosome, complete genome.
UUUUUUGGUGUUGUAGGGCGUUUGGUGGAUGCCUUGGUGCGUAUGGGCCGAAGAAGGACGUUGUAGCCUGCGAUAUGCCUCGGGGAAUUGGCUAGCGAGUGGUGAUCCGAGGGUGUCCGAAUGGGGGAACCUAGCCUGGGUUAUGCCGGGUUGCUGCCAGCUGAAUUGAUAGGUUGGUGGUGGGAACGUGGGGAAGUGAAACAUCUUAGUACCUGCUGGAAAAGAUAUUUUGUGAGUAGUGGCGAGCGAAAGCGAAGGAGCCUAAACCUUGUGUGUGUGAUACCUGUCGGGGGUUGCAUAUGGGGUGUUGUGGGGUGUUGUUUUCCUGCUACCGACAUGGUGGGGCGUAGUGAUAAAUCAGGGGUGUAGGUGAAGGGUUUGGGAAGGCCUGCCGUAGACCGUGAUAGCCGGGUAGCUGAAAUGUUCCUGACUGCGUGACAAUAUUUCCCCGAGUAGCACGGGGCUCGUGGAAUCUCGUGUGAAUCUGCCAAGACCACUUGGUAAGGCUAAAUACCCGUCGUGACCGAUAGUGGAAUAGUACCGUGAGGGAAUGGUGAAAAGUACCCCGGGAGGGGAGUGAAAUAGUGCCUGAAACCAGGCGCCUACAAACUGUCAGAGCCACAUUUCAAUGGUGGUGAUGGCGUGCCUAUUGAAGAAUGAGCCUGCGAGUUAGGAUGUGUGGCGAGGUUAACCCGUGUGGGGUAGUCGUAGCGAAAGCGAGUCUGAAGAGGGCGGUUUUUAGUUGCAUGUUCUAGACCCGAAGCGGGGUGAUCUACCCAUGGCCAGGGUGAGGCACGUGUAAGAGCGUGUGGAGGCCCGAACCCACCAGGGUUGAAAACCUGGGGGAUGAGUUGUGGGUAGGGGUGAAAGGCCAAUCAAACUCCGUGAUAGCUGGUUCUCCCCGAAAUGCAUUUAGGUGCAGCGUUGCGUGGUUCUUUGUGGGGGUAGAGCUACUGGUUGGCUGAUGGGCCUGAUUUGGUUACUGACGUCAGCCAAACUCCGAAUACCAUGAAGUUGAGCGUGGCAGUGAGACUGUGGGGGAUAAGCUUCAUAGUCGAGAGGGAAACAGCCCAGAUCGCCGGUUAAGGCCCCUAAGUGUGUGCUAAGUGGGAAAGGAUGUUUAGUUGCUGUGACAACCAGGAGGUUGGCUUAGAAGCAGCCAUCCUUGAAAGAGUGCGUAAUAGCUCACUGGUCAAGUGAUUGAGCGCCGACAAUGUAGCGGGGCUGAAGUACACCGCCGAAACCGCGGCAAACAAGUUUUUGUUGUUUGGGUAGGGGAGCGUCCCGCGCGAGGUGAAGCUGCAGUGUGAACUUGUGGUGGAUUGUGUGGGAGUGAGAAUGCAGGCAUGAGUAACGUUUGGGAGGUGAGAAUCCUUCCCGCCGUAUGACUAAGGGUUCCAGGGGUAGGUUCGUCCUCUCUGGGUUAGUCGGGUCCUAAGGCGAGGCCGACAGGCGUAGUCGAUGGGUGACCAGUUCUUAUUCUGGUACCGGUUUUAUUGCGUCCAGUGUCUUCUGCGUUGAUGCUAACCAUCCCGUCUACAUCAUGUAAGCGAAUGAGGCGUUUGUCUUGUUUGUGGUUGGUGUGGGUGGCGUGGGGUCCUAAGUGUGGGAGGCAAGCGUGUUAACAGGUGUGACGCAGGGAGGUAGCUUCGCGUGCCUAAUGGCUUGGCGCGUUUAAGGGUGUGGCCCGUCUCUUUGGUAAAUCCGGGGGACAUUGUGGGUGAGGCCUGAUGGUGACCACUUUUUGUGGGAAGUAGGGUGAUCCUGUACUGCCGAGAAAAGCAUCGACGUGAGUAAUAUGACCGCCCGUACCCGAAACCGACACUGGUAGUUGGGUAGAGCAUACUAAGGCGUGCGAGUGAAUCGUGGUUAAGGAACUCGGCAAAAUGCCCCCGUAACUUUGGGAGAAGGGGGGCCCACUCUUUGCCUGUCUCUUGUCUAGACGUGGUGGGGGGUUGGGUCGCAGAGUCUAGGGAGAAGCGACUGUUUAUCAAAAACACAGGUCCGUGCGAAGCUGUAAGGCGAUGUAUACGGACUGACGCCUGCCCGGUGCUGGAAGGUUAAGCGGACUGGUUAGCCCUUUUUUGGGCGAGGCUGGGAAGUUAAGCCCCAGUAAACGGCGGUGGUAACUAUAACCAUCCUAAGGUAGCGAAAUUCCUUGUCGGGUAAGUUCCGACCUGCACGAAUGGCGUAACGACUUCUCUACUGUCUCGACCACGAGCUCGGUGAAAUUGCAUUACGAGUAAAGAUGCUCGUUUCGCGCAGCAGGACGGAAAGACCCCGGGACCUUUACUAUAGCUUGGUAUUGGUGUUCGGUACGGUUUGUGUAGGAUAGGUGGGAGACUGUGAUGCAUGGACGCUAGUUUGUGUGGAGUCGUUGUUGAAAUACCACUCUGGUCGUAUUGCAUGUCUAACUUUGGUCCGUGAUCCGGGCUAAGGACAGUGCCUGGUGGGUAGUUUAACUGGGGCGGUUGCCUCCUAAAGGGUAACGGAGGCGCUCAAAGGUUUCCUCAGCCUGGUUGGUCAUCAGGUGGUGAGUGUAAGUGUAGAAGGAAGCUUGACUGUGAGACAGACAUGUCGAGCAGGUACGAAAGUAGGAACUAGUGAUCCGGCGGUGGCUUGUGGAAGCGCCGUCGCUCAACGGAUAAAAGGUACCCCGGGGAUAACAGGCUGAUCCUGCCCAAGAGUUCAUAUCGACGGCAUGGUUUGGCACCUCGAUGUCGGCUCGUCGCAUCCUGGGGCUGGAGUAGGUCCCAAGGGUUGGGCUGUUCGCCCAUUAAAGCGGUACGCGAGCUGGGUUCAGAACGUCGUGAGACAGUUCGGUCCCUAUCCGCUGCGCGCGUUUGAGAAUUGAGAAGGGCUGUUCCUAGUACGAGAGGACCGGGACGGACGAACCUCUAGUGUGCCAGUUGUUCCGCCAGGGGCAUUGCUGGUUGGCCACGUUCGGGAGGGAUAACCGCUGAAAGCAUCUAAGCGGGAAGCCUGCUUCGAGAUUAGUUCUCGUUCCACCUGUAUUGGUGGGUGAGGUCCCCGGUUGAUGAUCGGGUUGAUAGGCCAGGGAUGUAAGCAUUGUGAGGUGUUUAGUUGACUGGUACUAAUGGACCGAUAGCCAAAAAAUA